CAGACUUGAAGCAUGCAACACUUAGAGGUGACACUGAGACAUGAAUGUGUAGUUCAUUAAUAAAGAAUUCCAGAGGUUUGAAGAUGCUUGUAAACCAUCCCAGCAAGAAGACUGGGAGAAGAGUAUUCUCUGGGUCAGAAUAUUGCCCUACAGCUCCAGGGAGAAAUCCUGAGGGAGAGAGAAGUGAAGAGCUACAGUCUCCAGCAGCCUCAGCUGAGAGAUACAGAGAGCCCUGA
rnacentral:lncRNA from 12 species